rnacentral:rRNA from 1 species
UACGGAGGGUGCAAGCGUUGUCCGGAUUCACUGGGCUUAAAGGGUGCGUAGGUGGGUAGGUAAGUCAGUGGUGAAAUCCCCGAGCUUAACUUGGGAACUGCCGUUGAUACUAUCUAUCUUGAAUAUCGUGGAGGUAAGCGGAAUAUGUCAUGUAGCGGUGAAAUGCUUAGAUAUGACAUAGAACACCCAUUGCGAAGGCAGCUUACUACACGAUCAUUGACACUGAGGCACGAAAGCGUGGGGAGCAAACAGG